CUCAGCUCCCAGGUGCAUGAAGCAGGGACAUCCAAGAGGAUGAUGGCAGCUCACUUCUUGCUGCAGUUCCUCCUCUUCGGGACUCUACUCGUCCCUGUGUACCUGCAGAUGGAAGGAUGUGAUUUUCUCCAGGAUGCAGUCAAGGGCAAUUUCUCAGUGACUGUGACACCUGAGGAGUAUGUGGCCAACACAACCUACCAGGUCCUGAGGGGUUUCACUUGAAGCCACUCUCACCCAAAUGUCACUGAGGGCCAGGAGGGCUACAGCCGUGUGGCACACACAGCCGUAUGCAGCUGGCUGCUGGCAGGCAGUUACAAUAAGAGAUGACGGAAACAGCACCACCAUCAGAAAUGUGACCAUGUAUUUACUUCAAGCCUUGUCCUCUGAAAAUACCACUGCAGGAGAAUGGAAUGUAGUAGAAAAACUAAACUGCAGUAAUGUUGCGACAGCAAUGCUAAAUACCACUCAGGAAGAAGCAGCAGCAAACUGGACAUCUCCAAGCAGUAACAUAUCUUCCGUGGAAAUAAGGGCAUAUAUCAUCUAUGAAAACAAUAUCACUGAGUUCAAGACGGCGAUUCUGCAGGAAGUUCCACGAACAGAUCCAACCACAGCCUCGACAACCCCUGACUCCGUCUCCGCAGUCCAGAGCAGCUGCUUCUUCAUCGCCGUCACUCAGCUGCUGAUGCUCCUCACUACAAGCAAACUGCUCUCCUAGGAGAUGGGGAGAGGAGAUGACCCAGCUGUGGUGCUCCUCUCCUCACCCACGGCACAGGUGGGAGGGCAGGCAGCUGAUCUACUCAGGAAAAUCACUCACUUCUUAUGCGUAUCAAGAUGAUAACUGCACUUCUACAUUAGAUUAUAAGGGUCUAUGGCCACAGAGCUGAUCUCCCCUUACUCCCCUCAACCAGGGCCAGCACACACAGCAAGAUUAGCAAGUCAGAGAUCACUCUGGUCAGAACAGCUGGAGAAGGUGAUUUAGGAGCAGACCCCUUCUAACCAGGGGCACCGGAUGGGUUAAUCCUUUCCUCAACACCUGGGGUCCUGUGAAGCACAAAAAGAAAAGCAUGAAAAUGUUCAAGAGAGGGGAAAGGCCCCUCCCCAUCCCAGUACUGGUGUGUGCUGAGGAGCUGAAGGAGAGGUCUGUGAGCCACAGCCAGGGCAGAGCUAUACUGUGUCCUGCAAAGCUCCCUUGGUUUGGUUCUGGCUCUCUGGAAUGGUGGAGUGGGUGGGUUUUUUUCCUCCUUUUUUUGUUUGUUUGGGUUUUUUUUUGUUUUUAAUCAGCAGCAGUUCCUGCUGUGGGAUGAGAUUGGAUGGGCCCCUGAAUGUCUUGAUUUUAUUAUUAUUGUUUGUAUUUUUAUACGGAUGGAGUUUAUGAAGGAAAUUUCAAACUUCUGGAAAGUAAUUACUAUUAUUAUUAUUUUUUUUUUCUGAAGCGAAUCUAAAUAAACC
rnacentral:lncRNA from 1 species